CCUCAACAAGAUCUGAUUUGUUUCCAAGGGAAUUCGUUGAUGAGCUUGCAAAAUUGCAGGAUAGAGUACCUGCAUUUUCUCCUGAGAAGGAAAUGGGUUGUCCAAUUGAAGUUGUGUUCAAAGAAUUUGAAGAUUGUCCGAUAGCUGCUGCCAGUUUUGGUCAGAUGUCGUCUUCGAAGCAAAUUGAUUGUACCACGACGUUUAAUGACAUGACUAUCAUUG